AAGCACUUAACAAAUACCAAUAUUAUUAAAUACGAUUGAAUGAACUAAGCCAAGCUCCGCCCCUGCUCAUCCUCACGAAAACGGCUCAGCGCCCCGGCCCUGCUCAGCCUCCUGGAAACGGUUCACCGCCUCGCCCGUUCAUCCCCAUGGAAACAGUUCAGCACCCCGUCCCUGCUCAUCUCCUUGGCAACGUCCCUCCGACAGCCUCCCAUUCCUACGGAACGGGAACGGAGACGACAACGGGAACGGGAACUCGCGCUCUACGCUCAGAGAGCCAGAGAACCCACAGCUCCAACCCCCUUCUCAGUGGUCCUGCAAGGGGGGAAGAAGGUGCAACUUAAGCAAUGGAGGUCAGACGGCAGGAAGAACUUCCUGAGCAACAGCGUGCGGAAGACACUGGAAUGCAAACUGGAGGACGGAGGAGCCUCCGGCGCAGAACAGAUCCGGGGCUGACUCGGUGGGGGAGGGACUGCCCUGGUCUUUGGCAGGGAGUCGGAGAAAAUGAGCUCAUCUCAUCGCCGGAGACAAAGAAAGACACAGAGGCGA